rnacentral:rRNA from 1 species
GACGAACGCUGGCGGCGUGCUUAACACAUGCAAGUCGAACGGAAAGGCCCUGCUUUUGUGGGGUGCUCGAGUGGCGAACGGGUGAGUAACACGUGAGUAACCUGCCCUUGACUUUGGGAUAACUUCAGGAAACUGGGGCUAAUACCGGAUAGGAGCUCCUGCUGCAUGGUGGGGGUUGGAAAGUUUCGGCGGUGGGGGAUGGACUCGCGGCUUAUCAGCUUGUUGGUGGGGUAGUGGCUUACCAAGGCUUUGACGGGUAGCCGGCCUGAGAGGGUGACCGGCCACAUUGGGACUGAGAUACGGCGCAGACUCCUACGGGAGGCAGCGGUGGGGAAUAUUGCACAAUGGGCGGAAGCCUGAUGCAGCAACGCCGCGUGCGGGAUGACGGCCUUCGGGUUGUAAACCGCUUUCGCCUGUGACGAAGCGUGAGUGACGGUACUGGGUAAAGAAGCACCGGCUAACUACGUG